rnacentral:rRNA from 1 species
CACGAAACAAGAUGAGCUAAUUAAUAUCUCAUGUUAGUUAUUAUAUGUAACAUAAUAUUAUUAGAAUAUUAAUUAGGGAUGAAAGGUCAACCAAGUCUUGUGAUAACUUGAUGUUUUUGAAAAGUAUUAAGUACAGUGACAAUUUAUGAGUGCGAAGGCUCAUAAAAAUUAUUAAUUAUUAUUAUUGUUACCUUGUUAGUUUAACCGCUUGCAAGUUAUAAAUUUAUUAUUCUUAUAGAAAUAAUUAUAUUAUUUUCAAGACAACUUAUUAACUUCUUAUGUAGUUUAUAAUGUUGCUAUAAGUAAUUAAGAGAUAUUUAAAAUGAACUCGGCAACAUAUUUUUCAACUGUUUACCAAAAACAUUGCCAGUAGUUAGUUUUAUUGGUAUUUUCUGCUCAAUGAUACUUAAAUAGCCGCAGUACUCUGACUGUGCAAAGGUAGCAUAAUAAAUUGGCUUCUGAUUAAAGUCUUGGAUGAAAGAAACAAUGAAAAAUAACUGUAUCUUAAAUAUAAUAUUAAAUUACUGAGCAAGUGCAAAUUCUUGCAUUUAAAUAAUAGACGAGAAGACCCUGGAAAUUUUUAAAAUAGUUCAAUGGGGGUUUUUGUUGGGGCAACAGUAUAACAUAUAAUUUAUAUUAUAUACAAGAAAUAUAAUUGAAAGAUUAAAUUACUCUAGGGAUAACAGCGUAAUGUAUAAACGUUUGCGACCUCGAUGUUGGACUAGGACACGAAAGCUUAAAA